rnacentral:rRNA from 1 species
ACGGGGUGCAGCAGGCGCGAAACCUUUACAAUGCGGGCAACCGUGAUAAGGGAACCUCGAGUGCCUGUAAACGCAGGCUGUUCAGGUGUUUAAAACGCACCUGGAGAAAGGGCCGGACAAGACCGGUGCCAGCCGCCGCGGUAAUACCGGCGGCUCGAGUGGUGGCCGCUUUUAUUGGGCUUAAAGCGUUCGUAGCUGGGUUGUUAAGUCUCUUGGGAAAUCUGGCGGCUUAACCGUCAGGCGUCUAAGGGAUACUGGCAAUCUUGGAACCGGGAGAGGUGAGGGGUACUUCGGGGGUAGGGGUGAAAUCCUGUAAUCCUCGAGGGACCACCUGUGGCGAAGGCGCCUCACCAGAACGGCUUCGACAGUGAGGGACGAAAGCUGGGGGAGCAAACCGGAUUAGAUACCCGGGUAGUCCCAGCCGUAAACGAUGCGCGUUAGGUGUAUCGGUGACCAUGAGUUACCGAGGUGCCGAAGGGAAACCGUGAAACGCGCCGCCUGGGAAGUACGGUCGCAAGGCUGAAACUUAAAGGAAUUGGCGGGGGAGCAC